rnacentral:rRNA from 1 species
AGCAGCCGCGGUAAUUCCAGCUCCAAUAGCGUAUAUUAAAGUUGUUGCAGUUAAAAAGCUCGUAGUUGAACUUCGGAAUUUGUUCAUUGGUCAGGCUUAACUGUAUGUACUGGUGUUACGAAUUUCUACCUUCUGAGGAAUCCUCAUGCCAUUAAUUUGGUGCGGGGGGAAUCAGGACUGUUACUUUGAAAAAUUAGAGUGUUUAAAGCAGGCUAACGUCUGAAUACAUUAGCAUGGAAUAAUAAAAUAGGACGGUUUGGUUCUAUUUUGUUGGUUUCUAGGAUCACCGUAAUGAUUAAUAGGGAUAGUUGGGGGCAUUAGUAUUCAAUUGUCAGAGGUGAAAUUCUUGGAUUUAUUGAAGACUAACUACUGCGAAAGCAAUUUGCCAAGGAUGUUUUCAUUAAUCAAGAACGAAAGUUAGGGGAUCGAAGACGAUCAGAUACCGUCGUAGUCUUAACCAUAAACUAUGCCGACUAGGGAUCGGACGAAGUUAAUUUUUAAAUGUACUCGUUCGGCACCU